rnacentral:rRNA from 1 species
CAGUAGCCGCGGUAAUGCGAAGGGGGCUAGCGUUGUUCGGAUUUACUGGGCGUAAAGGGCGCGUAGGCGGACUGAUAAGUCAGGGGUGAAAUCCCAAGGCUCAACCUUGGAACUGCCUUUGAUACUGUUUGUCUUGAGUUCGAGAGAGGUAAGUGGAACUGCGAGUGUAGAGGUGAAAUUCGUAGAUAUUCGCAAGAACACCAGUGGCGAAGGCGGCUUACUGGCUCGAUACUGACGCUGAGGCGCGAAAGCGUGGGGAGCAAACAGGAUUAGAGACCCGAGUAGUCCCUGUCUCUUAUAC